rnacentral:ncRNA from 1 species
ACGAGCCGUAUGACGGGAGACUGUCACGUACGGUUCUGUGAGAGGCUUGGGGGGUGAAACUCCCCCUUGCCUACUCGGC